rnacentral:rRNA from 1 species
AUUGAACGCUGGCGGCAGGCCUAACACAUGCAAGUCGAGCGGAAACGAAGAGGUGCUUGCACCUCUGGCGUCGAGCGGCGGACGGGUGAGUAAUGCUUGGGAAUAUGCCUUAUGGUGGGGGACAACAGUUGGAAACGACUGCUAAUACCGCAUAAUGUCUACGGACCAAAGUGGGGGACCUUCGGGCCUCACGCCAUAAGAUUAGCCCAAGUGGGAUUAGCUAGUUGGUGAGGUAAUGGCUCACCAAGGCGACGAUCCCUAGCUGGUUUGAGAGGAUGAUCAGCCACACUGGGACUGAGACACGGCCCAGACUCCUACGGGAGGCAGCAGUGGGGAAUAUUGCACAAUGGGCGCAAGCCUGAUGCAGCCAUGCCGCGUGUGUGAAGAAGGCCUUCGGGUUGUAAAGCACUUUCAGUAAGGAGGAAAGGUUAAGUGUUAAUAGCACUUAGCUGUGACGUUACUUACAGAAGAAGCACCGGCUAACUCCGUGCCAGCAGCCGCGGUAAUACGGAGGGUGCGAGCGUUAAUCGGAAUUACUGGGCGUAAAGCGUACGCAGGCGGUUUGUUAAGCGAGAUGUGAAAGCCCCGGGCUCAACCUGGGAACUGCAUUUCGAACUGGCAAACUAGAGUGUGAUAGAGGGUGGUAGAAUUUCAGGUGUAGCGGUGAAAUGCGUAGAGAUCUGAAGGAAUACCAGUGGCGAAGGCGGCCCCCUGGACAAAGACUGACGCUCAGAUGCGAAAGCGUGGGGAGCAAACAGG